rnacentral:lncRNA from 1 species
CGCUGGAAGAACUUGAAUCUUAUCCACGCAUCUUUGAAAGACUCUCCAGUCUUCUGCGCGAAUGUAACAAGUUUGCUCCUCAAGUCUUCAGUGCGUGCCUCAUCGAAGAAGUUUCGCAAGAAAGCAAUGAUGUCGGUCCAGGAUGUUAAAGAUCUUGUGGGUAGCUGCUUAAGUCAGUGCAUCCCUUCUCCAGUCAGAGAAUACUUGAAGAGCUUGCACAAUAGGUAGUCAUCGGGGACUCCAUCCAUACGAAUAGCAACGAUAAGAUCCUCGAACCUCUC